rnacentral:rRNA from 1 species
AUACGAAGGGGGCUAGCGUUGUUCGGAUUUACUGGGCGUAAAGCGCACGUAGGCGGAUUGAUAAGUUAGGGGUGAAAUCCCGAGGCUCAACCUCGGAACUGCCUCUAAUACUGUCAAUCUCGAGACCGGAAGAGGUGAGUGGAACUCCUAGUGUAGAGGUGGAAUUCGUAGAUAUUAGGAAGAACACCAGUGGCGAAGGCGGCUCACUGGUCCGGUACUGGCGCUGAGGUGCGAAAGCGUGGGGAGCGAACAGGAUUAGAAACCCUAGUAGUCC